rnacentral:lncRNA from 1 species
CAGCUGGAGCUUCCUCGUGACGCCACGCAUCCGUUUCGCUAUUCACCGACCGCUCUCCUCCGCCUAGCAAGUUCCCCCACUAGCACCACUGUUCGCCACCCACCGCCGCUUCCUGCAACUCCUGUGCCCCCUCCUCCUCACCUCCUGUGUCACUGCUGGUAAGCCCCUUGGGCUUGGGGCAUGGUCCCGCCGCCGCUCUCCCCACCGUCACCGCACCAUCUCCCCCCUACCGCUGCCGGCCCAAGACCGUGCGCUGGCCAAGUUUGUGCGUGCCUGUUCUAUGUGUGCGUGAGGUGUUGUGUGAGAACAAGGAAAAAGAAGAAGGGGAUUAUGGGAAAGUUCAGGGACCUUUGUGCAAGGAUUCAAUAGAUCUAAGGGUUGUUUUACAAACUGAUCUCGGUUUUGAUUUAUUUCCUAGAUUUAAAUAGCUACAAACUUGGAAAAUGCAUAGAAAUGUGUAGAAAUAUGCUAAAAAUGUGAAUCUUAUUUUAUUGAGUUCCUGAUGACAUAUAAUUUAUUUCAAAAAUGUUUGUUUUGCAUGUUACUGUUCUGUAGUUGGUGCUAUGAUUUAUUUUGUCUAAAAGUCAUUAAAUGCUUUAUAAAUCAUAUGUUGGUCUAAAAAAUUUUGAAACCAACUUUGUUAGCUUCCCUUUAACAUGUAUGUUCUAGAUCUGCAACUUGUGUUAGUGGAAUCUAUGGUUUUCAUGCGGUUUUAAAUAUAAUGCUUGUUUGUUAUCUUAAUU